rnacentral:rRNA from 1 species
CACGGGGGGAGCAAGCGUUGUUCGGAAUCACUGGGCGUAAAGGGCGUGUAGGCGGUCAGGUAAGUGGGAUGUGAAAUGCCUCGGCUCACCCGAGGCACUGCAUUCCAAACUGCUUGGCUUGAGUAUGGGAGAGGAUGAGGGAAUUCCUGGUGUAGCGGUGAAAUGCGUAGAUAUCAGGAGGAACACCGGUGGCGAAGGCGGGUCUCUGGGCCGAUACUGACGCUGAGGAGCGAAAGCGUGGGGAGCGAACAGG